AUCGAAGACGAUCAGAUACCGUCGUAGUCCCGACCGUAAACGAUGCCGACCGAGGGCCCCGGAGGAGUUACGUACGACCCUCCGGGCCCUCCCGCGAGAAAUCAGGAGUAUUCGGGUUCCGGGGGGAGUAUGGUCGCAAGGCCGAAACUUAAAGGAAUUGACGGAAGGGCACCACCAGGAGUGGAAUCUGCGGCUUAAUUUGACCCAACGCGGGAAAACUCACCAGGUCAGGACACGGUAAGGAUUGACGGACUGAAGGCUCUUUCUCGAUUCCGUGGAAAGUGGUGCAUGGCCGUUUUUGGUUGGUGGAUCGAUCCGUCUGGUUAAUUCCGUUAACGAACGAGACCUCGGCACUCCGAAUAGCGCGGCGGACGUCGCGGCCUCCGGGCCGUCUUCCGCACGAGCUUCUUAGAGGGACCGUCCCCCGCCGGGGAAGGAGGUGCGAGGCAACGACAGGUCUGUGAUGCCCUUAGAUGUUCUGGGCCGC
rnacentral:rRNA from 1 species